UACGUAGGGUGCAAGCGUUGUCCGGAAUUAUUGGGCGUAAAGAGCUCGUAGGCGGUCAGUCGCGUCUGCUGUGAAAACUCGGGGCUUAACUCCGGGCCUGCAGUGGGUACGGGCUGACUAGAGUGCGGUAGGGGAGACUGGAAUUCCUGGUGUAGCGGUGAAAUGCGCAGAUAUCAGGAGGAACACCGGUGGCGAAGGCGGUUGCCUGGGGCUUUGCUGACGCUGAUGCGCGAAAGCGUGGGGAGCGAUCCGG
rnacentral:rRNA from 1 species